rnacentral:rRNA from 1 species
ACCCUGACCAAAACAGACCGCGCACGCGUCAUCCAGCCUGCCGAGCGGUCCGCCGCUCGGCUAAGUCCUCGACAACCUCCUCUCCUCGGAUAGGGGGCUCGGGGUAAAAAGAACCCACGGCGCCGAAGGCGUCAAGGAACACUGUGCCUAGCUCGGGGAAGCGGCUGGCCUGCUGGCCGCACCUCAUGCUGCAAUGCUAUUUAAUCCACACGACUCUCGGCAACGGAUAUCUCGGCUCUCGCAUCGAUGAAGAACGUAGCGAAAUGCGAUACCUGGUGUGAAUUGCAGAAUCCCGCGAACCAUCGAGUCUUUGAACGCAAGUUGCGCCCGAGUCCUUUUGGCCGAGGGCACGCCUGCCUGGGCGUCACGCUAAACACGCUCCCACUCUCCCUCAUCUGGGAGCGGGAUGCGGCAUGUGGCCUCCCGUCUCGCAAGUGGCGGUGGGCCGAAGAUAUGGCUGCCGGCGUAUCGUGCCGGACACAGCGCUAGGUGGGCGUUCUCGCUAAAACUUAUC